UUGAAUAGUCAAUUGAAUCCUCUCAUUUUCCAAUUUCCUACCAUCAUCGACCAAAAUAAAUUUCUUAACCGCUAUUUAAAUUAUAUGAGAAGCAGUUAGUUGCCCAAAUCACUUGUUGAUUGGAAGUCAAUUUGGCCUUUAUUCUAAACCUAUUUUAGUUGAGUCACCUAAUUUGAAAAGGAACACUACCAUUUCUCUUCCUCGGGCUGCCAUUAUAAUUAUAUUUGUGAAUUAAACUAAUCCAACUUAUAAUCUAACCGUAUCCACGCUAAACACAUUUGAUGUUCCCCACCAUAACAAAUAUAAACCUUUGUUUUUUCCACGCCUCUCUUCGUCUUCCAAAAAUGAGUCCUUUGAUGAUGGGUUACUCCAAAAUAAGGAGGAGAUGCCAUGGAGCAGCUGCAGCUGGCAGAGGUUUCAGGCUAAACCCAAAAAGAUUUUCAGUUCAAACUCUACGUACCAGUGUCAGGAGAAAGAGAAGCGGCAACAGCAAGAGGGGUUUAGUGGUGGAGGUUUCCGGCUAUAACUCCGGUCGAGGUGACUGCAGAAUGAGGACGUUCGGACGCUCUAAUUCUUUUUAUUCUGAAGCCAUUGCAGACUGUUUGGAGUUCAUCAAGGGGUCCUCCCUUUCUGUGGAGCAGAAACAAGUAUGCGCAAGAUAGAGCAUUGGUUAUACUAUGAUGAUUUUUGUAUAAAAGGGUAUGUGCUGUUUGUUUUUGGCGAUCAACUAUUCAUUGUGUUACUGUGUUAGGACUGCUUUGAAACUUGAUCCUUCAUGUAUUUUUUUAUUCGACCUUGGAUCCUCUCUGUUCUUUCUCUGUAAUGUGUAUACAUGUUAUCUGCCAUGAAUUUUCUUAGGAAAAAGGAAAUUAAGGUUUGAGACGUAUUAAUUAUCUCAGGGUAUCUAAAUUUAUUAUCUAUUUAUUUGUUG